GUAGAUAAUCUGCCUUCAAGCCUGGGAUAACUAUUCGAAAGGGUAGCUAAUACCGGAUAAAGUCGAUCUACACAAGUAGAUUGAUGAAAGAUUGCCUCUUCUUGAAAGCAAUUGCUUGGAGAUGAGUUUGCGUACCAUUAGCUUGUUGGUGGGGUAAAGGCCUACCAAGGCAACGAUGGUUAGCUGGUCUGAGAGGAUGAUCAGCCACACUGGAACUGGAACACGGUCCAGACUCCUACGGGAGGCAGCAGUGAGGAAUUUUGCGCAAUGGGGGCAACCCUGACGCAGCAACGCCGCGUGAGUGAAGAAGGCCUUUGGGUCGUAAAGCUCUGUCAACAGGGAAGAAGUUACAAUUGUUUAAUAGAUGGUUGUAUUGACGGUACCUGUGGAGGAAGCGCCGGCUAACUCCGUGCCAGCAGCCGCGGUAAUACGGGGGGCGCAAGCGUUAUU
rnacentral:rRNA from 1 species